CCAAUAGCGUAUAUUAAAGUUGUUGCAGUUAAAAAGCUCGUAGUUGAAUUUCGGGAUUGACGUGAUGGUCGUGCCUUAAGGGGUAUGAACUGUCGCAGUUGAUUUCUCACCUUCUGGAGAAGCUUGAUGUCCUUAAUUGGGUGUCAUGUGGAACCAGGACCUUUACCUUGAAAAAAUUAGAGUGUUUAAAGCAGGCAUUU
rnacentral:rRNA from 1 species